UUUAAUUAUAAUUAUUUAUUUAAAUUUAAUAAUUAAAUAUAAAAUUUUUUAUUAAAUAAAUUUAAUAAUAAAUGUUUUUUAAAUUCUUUGAGGUUUUGAUUUUUGAUUUUUUGUUUCUGCUCAUUGUUAAAGAAAAGCACUUUUAGCGUGAUUGGUCAAAGGUAGCGAGGUAAUUUGUUUUUUUAUUGAAUUCUAGUAUGAAUGGAUUUUUUGUUAUUAAAUAUAUUGAUUUUAAAAAGAAUUUUAAAUUUAUUUAAAAAAUAAUAAAUAAAAUAAA
rnacentral:rRNA from 1 species